AGUAGGCUCGGCGUGUGGCCUGCUCAUGGUGAGGGGAUCCCCAGUGUGGGUGGGCAAGUUGGGCCCUCUGCCCCAUUUGGGAAACCUGUCCCCUUCACCCAGAGUGAGAAGAUGGAGAAAGCACAGGGGGUGAGCUUCUGCUGCUCGUGGGGAGACACGCCCUGGGGGCACUGAGAGCCCCUCUCUGGGAAGCAGCAUGGGUAGGAAAUGAUGGACACCAGGCAGCCUUGCCCUUGCCCUCCAUCUCCUUCCCUCCUCCCUUGCUCCUCCACAUUGUUUUUCCUGCUUCACCCAGGUGUGGAUCCCCCUUCCCAAGGAGGCUGCCUGCGUGGUGGUCCCAGCCCUGGGAUGGGUUCAUGUGGAGGCAGAGCCUCCCCGGGUGAGUGCCGGGAGGUGCUGAUUCCGCGGUGUGCGGGGGAUCCGGCAGCCACCUCACUAAGAGGAUUUACAGAGAGAUAAGGCGCAGCGCUGAGCUUCCCUCGGUAAUCGUGCCGCACAAUUCGGGGCUGCGCAGGGAAUUUCGGCGCAGCUGACAGUGUUCGCAGCCUAUCAGGCAGUUUCCGUUCUGAUGCAGUGCCAGUGCUGGGCUGACUUCAAUCAGGCUGCACAAAUCAGCAGAGCAGAAAUGCCUCCUUCCCUCCAUCACCUGAAGCCAAUGCUGAUUCAUCUCUUCAGGCCCGUUCCUCCUGCCCUUUCUCCGAAUUCGCUGAUUGCUGAAUCAUUUUUUUUCCUUUUUAUUUCCUUCCCCUCUUCCCCUCUGGAGUGUCCUGGUGCUGAAUGCAACACGCUUCGUUUCGAGAUCUGGCUGAAAGGGAAUAUGGAAAUUAAUUGGCUCAGGCUGCUCGCAGCCUUUUCCACGUGCCUGUACUAUGUAAGAGGUGCCGUGCAAUUGCCUUUCCAUUGUGGUUCCCCACCAGCCACCUGUCUCCUUGCACAUGCUGCCGCGGCUGCUCUCAGCCUGGGCUCCCGAGAUGGAUGUCCCCUUCCUCUCCCUAUUGUGCAAGAGGGAGGGCAGCUGGCAGGGCUGUCCUCCUAAGGGCUGGAACUGCCCUGUUUGACUCAAAAUAGGCCAGAUUUAGUGAAUUUUCCGGCUUGUGGUAAACAGCGUGUGACUGGUGCUUUGGCAAGGGCUGCAGGGGGAUGUACUGUACAUUGUCACUCCUGUUGAAAUGGUUAUUUGUUCUGGCUACUGGAAGGAGAGCCCAGUUGAAAGAGAGCACCCAGGGGAUGUGCCUCCUCCAUGGGAGGGUGGUACUGGGACCCUUGCAAGUUGGUGUAUAACCUUGCUUCAUGGGUAUGCUCCAUCCCAAACAUGCUGUUCCAUGGUGCUGUGGCUUUUCCAGCUCCAUGAGAAAGACAGUGCUGGGCAGAAAGAAAGCCUUAUCUCCAUGUCAUGCAAGGGGGAAGCCCAAAAGGAAUAAGAUCUUACAGCCAGCCAGGCAGGAGGGCAAUGUCACCAGGAGCACCUGUGUAACAGAAGAAGAAUGGGCACCCAUGGCUCAGAGACAGAACUGCUCUGGCUCUCUGGAAGCACCUCAGCACUUGCUGGGGGACAACGGGUUCUUCUGAAGGGUGGAUGGUACAAAACUGCCCCAGACUCAAUUCCUUGCUGGAAGGGAAAAUCUGAGCUCUAACAGUCAUGAGGAUAAUGGUCAUUUGUGCUGAUUGUUUUUUACGUGGAGGCAUUUCAAGAAGUGGCUUUUGAAGUCCUGAAGAACUUCUGUGUCCAGAAGAAACUGGUCUAAUUUUCCCACCAAUAAUAAACUGGUCUUUAAAAAGACAUUAUCUCUACACAAAGACUUUGUCUUACCUAUGUCCUUUGACCAUUGCAGUCACCACAAAACUACUUUGAGGCUCCUAUGGCAUUUGGCAGCAGAUCAAUGGCACAAACACUACAGUUGUCUGCAGCUGCUCCAAACCAGGAAUAAGAAUUUUUGGGUAGAGACAUCCUUGCCUAUGGCAUUAGCCCUUGUGUUGUCAUCUCAGCAGACUGAUGGUAUGAGCACCACUAGGUGCUGGUGAGUUGUUUGUAUUUUCAGGGUCUUGGGAUGACUCAGACUCUUGCAGCACUGCAGGCUGCCUGUGAUUUCUCUGGCAUGAUGCCCAUUUUCCUCUUCCAUCUUUGCACUGCCUCUUGCCCAAGGAGUCAUGGCCUACAAGAAGGACCACUUCCUAUUAAUACAAUAGCCAGAAAUGAAAGAGCAGGCACAUUUGUAAUGCAGCAUCACUGACAGAGAAGACAUGAUCUCAGGCACACUGGAUGUCAAAACCAAAUGAGAAACUUUUCUUCUAGUUUUAUCACAGUUUUUCCCAGAGCCACUGCUACUUGCAUUCUGGAAAUUUAUAGGAUGAAGGAUUUUGUCAUGAUAUCUAAUUCUAAUCUGGAGUGAUUUACUGUUAAAUUGAAAAUCAAGCCUGUACAUAUCCCCCUCCAAGUGGUUUCUGUCACAGUUUCCAUUAACCAUAAAAAUGUCACUUGCUAGGAAGUAUCAGCCUUCUUAUAGGCUUUGCAAUCAUCACUACCAGAUGCACACUUACUGAAUGGAAUAAAUAAUAGCCUCAUACAAUUAGCCUAGGAUGCAGGACAUGUCUGGCUAUCUCUCUUGGCUCCAAAGUGAAGUUUUCACAAGCAAACCCAUAUACCAGGAGAUGAGAUCUAUGUGGAUUCUCUGGAGCUCUUCAGAACUUGAAAUGCUGUAAAGCCUUAAGGAUAAAGCUAACAGUUUUGGUGCAUAUCUUUGUGGUUUCGGUCUGUGUAAGCAACUGAAACACCCAUCUUCCUUCAUUCUGAUCCAGUAAAGAAACCCCCUGUGUUUAUUCUGUCACUUAUAAUGUGUUUCGAAAUACUCUACUGGCUCUGUGGUGUUUCCUGCUGUUGCACAAUCACAGUAAAAUUUGUAGUGUGGGGUUGCACUGUAAACACUUCAUUCCGAUCUACCCUUCAAGGAAAUGACACACAGAGCUCUUCUUGAGCCUGGGGCUGUGGAUGAGGGCUGUGGUCCAAGGGAUGUGUUAGCAGUGUUGAGACACAGAUUUGAGUUAAUGUGGUCCUCAGGUAUGAGCUGAAACGAGAGUUUGGGUUUGUGUCAUGUUCUGCCAGAGCUCUGAGCCAUUGCACUUGAAGUCUCUGCUGUUGGUGGGGACCUCAAGAAAUCAGCCUGAGUGCAGAAAAUGACACUUAAUGGUCCCCACAUUUUAAGCCAUAUUGUGAGCAGAAGUCAUAAAGAAAGUUGUAACCUGGACCUUCAUUGCUGUGUUUGCAUCUGAGGAUUGAAGUCCAGAGGACUGCAGAGCUGAAGCGGUGGAUGUGGACUGCAUGAGACACAUUACCCUUGCAGCAGCAGAAGCCUUGGAGCCUUGCAGCAGAAGAAGCAAGAAGCCUGUUUACAUCUGUCAAGAAGAACAAAGUCAUAUUCUGCUCUUCUAUGCACCAUUCUGACUACUGAAGUCAGUGAACUUUGACCUGUGUGUCAGGGAAAAAUCACUGUGUAGGAGCUUGCAGCUGGCACAAUGAACAGAGCGAGAUAUCAGCCACCUCUACAGAGCACCUGGAUCCCUUGAUGAAGUGAACUUACAGCUCCUGGAUGGAUCUGAAAGAGAAGAGUAAGGGAAGAAAGAAAGCAUUUGGUCACAUUUCCAGAGCAAGGACACUGUGUAUUUGAAAGUAGAAGCUCUGAGAGGGACAUGUGCUACCAUUUCAAAAAACACCUGCUCGUACAAGGAGCACCACCGGUGCAGGGACCCGAGAGUUGAGAAUCAUGCAAAUGGCAGCUCCUGCACUGCACUGAGCAGGGCUCACGAGAGGAGAUAAAGUAGGAAAUGGAGGGGUUUAGUUCCUUCUUCCCUCUUUGUGAGCUUCGCAACAGCUGUUGCAAAAGCGGAAAGGGUUUAAAAAUGUCAGGGAGAACGGUUUGCAGCAUGUCCAACCUCUAGAAGGAGAAUAUGAAGAAACCCAUCCUAUCAAACUUCAGAAAAAGAAAUCUUGAAGUAUGACAACUUCAGCACAGGCAGAGGUAUCUAGUCUGAUGUUAGAAGGCUCUUUGUCUUUUAUCUACCAAAUGCAUAUAUAUUCCAGAACAAAAAGCCCCUGUGUGUCCCUUGCCCAUGGAAUUCAUAAAGAUUUAUAAAUUUAAGUUAGAAUUGCAGGAUAUUAUACAAUAUAUAAUACUAAAUGCUGUUGUCAGAGGGAAAAGUGCCUGUGGACUGUUUGUGACUGCAGAAUCCGUGAUGAAUACCUAGAAUGUCCCUCUCCUGGAAAUGCUGUUAAUUGUUUUUUCACAUGAUGAAAUUGGUUUGAAGCAAUUUCACUGUCCCUUGAAGUCUUGUGAAAACAGAAAACAGAAUAUAUUAGUAUAGGAAAAGAUGAUGCUCACAGUUGUCUAAGAACUAAAAAGCCGUGUGUAUUCUUUAAAGUCUGGGGGAUGAGGCUGCUUUCUUCCCUGCAGUGUUAACACAUGCACCUUGGAGACUCUCAUCUCAGCCAGCAUCUGAGCAUGCUCUUGCAUUUCAUCCGACGGCUCAGGAGCAAAAGCACCAGCUUAUAUUCAGCAACAUGUAGCUCCAAAAUCAAUGUCAGCUAAGCAUUUUCAUUGCUAACAAAUUAAACAUUUUCACAGGUAUUAUUUGGACUAAAACUUGAUAGAUAGCAUUGGAAGUCUCUGAUGAAGUUCUCCAACCUGUGAACCUUCUUCUCUGACUGGGACAGAUGAGGGAAAAGAAAAAAGUAGCUUGUGCAUGUUUUCAUCCCUGCUCUCUGUGACGAGGCUCUUGAACGGAUAAAUGUCACCAGAGAAAAACUGUCAUGGUGAGAACUUUGUAUGGAAAGAUCCAAUUCAAAAAGUGAGAUUUGCAGGCCACACUGAAGGAAUUCUUUGUGUUUCCAAAUUUCAGUUCAGUGAAAGUUUGGGAAUUAGUUGGGCUGGUGGCUUUUCCACGCUUCAGAGUGAUAGCAGGAACACAUACAUGCUGUGUAUAAAGGCAUUCCCUGAAAAAAAAGAAAUUGAGCUGAUAUAUUGGAAAGGUGCCAGACUGAUGUAAAUAGGAAGUCAAAGACUUUAAUCUUCAGAGCUGGUAUGCCAAAGGUGCUGGCAGCCCAAUCUUCUCCACAGAAUGGAGAACUCAGUGGCCAAGUUUUGUUUUAGCAUUUGUCUCUGUGAGGAGAGAAGGAAUGACUUGGUACCCACAGGAUCAUUGCAGCUCUCUUCAUGACUGAAACUUUUCCAUUAUCAUGUAUUAGAUUUCCCCACAGCAAAUAAAGUGUUGAAAUUGGAAUAAAGUAUUGAAACUGUAGUGGACACAAUACAUGAAUUUUAACUAUGUCAUAAACCAUACUUUAGAUGGUUAUAAUAAUAAAAAUGUUUGAGACCCAGAUGA